GGCUGACCACUGAGGAGGGAGGAUGCACUUUACAGGCUCCAGCCUGGGAGCUGCUGAAGCCCCAGACUGCAGAAGCCAGAGGCACCAAGACCCAAGCGGAUACCCAGUGUUUGUCGUGGUCCAAGAGAGGUGCUGAGCCAGCAUGCAAGCAGCGGCUGUUCUACUUCUUCUACUGGUGGAGAGGCCUCUACAGGGCGCCCUCCCCUACGUGAGUGACCUGACGGGGAACAGAUCCUUCAGGGCUGGGCAGUAAAGGAAGCCCAGGGAGGGAGACCAGCACACAGCCUUGGACCCACAGAGAAGCCAGUCUUGGAGGAAAGCCUGCCCUCUCAGACAGGGGCCAGAAGACCAGGACCAGGAAAGAAUCAGGGCCAGUGAAGCCUAGCAGAACAACCCACCAAGGGCAGCAGCUGAACAGGAGCAGAAGGGGGCCUGAGACAGGCUGAGCGGGCUGGGGAACCCAACAGAAAUGGCGCUGGAGGCCGCUGUGCGGAGAGCGAAUCUCAGCCCAUGGAAGCGGAUGACAUGGCACUGUUGGCCAGCCCUUGGGGAUUGCAAAGGUCAGUGACAGAGCCAGGAAUGGAACCAGCUCUCCCAACUCGCCAGCCUGUCCCAUAACCACAAGACAGUGCCUCUCCUCCCCUUGUUACCCCGAUCACCUUCCACAGAGUGCCACAGGAUCUUUAACACCUGAGGAAGCCGUGGGGCCUGGUCUCCCUCUUGCUCACCCCAGUUUUAUACGCCUAUAAAUGCAGUGACUCCGGCGGUUCUGGCUGCUGAUUCACACCAGUCUGAACUCUGUCAGGCCGGGGGCUAUUACAUUAGUUCUAGCUGGCUGAAGGAGCUCUGGGGAAAGAGAUGCUGAAAGGCCAGGACAGCGGCUGCAGGAGUACCAAAGAAAGCAGAGCUGCAGCAGCCCCUCAUGAUGCAGAAAAGAACUCCCCGAUCAUCUGGCGGCUGAGGCCCUUGCGCUGGAGCAGGAAAUGUGCCACCCCGAUGGGCGUGUCCGGGAUGAAACCCCGAGAGAUCAGGAACUGGAUCCCUUUGUCUGGAUUUCUGGAAGAGAAGGACAGGGACGGUGAGCCGGACACUCCCUUCGGGGAACCGUUGCCUCUGGAAGGAGUCCCCUUGGGGAAUCCUCCCCCACAUUCCUCCCAUUAAUGUGCAUGCUAGCGACUGGCCUGGUUGUGGGGCAGGGGCAAGGCCAGCAGCGGAUCCAUCCAGCCUGCAGGGGGGGAGCCUCACCCGGUCCCUCAUGUCACAGGUUAAGGGGGUAAAAAUGGUUCUGAUUACAAGGACAGAAGCAUCCAUGGUACCUGUCCAGCUGGUGUGCCACUCCGUGGGGCAGCCUUGACUACUCAGACUGGGGCCUCUGCAGAGACUGUGAAUGCACUGAGAACCUAGUUAUGAGGACACAGCCUAAACAGGCCAUAACCUUCCCUGCAGCCCCCAGCCCAGAGCAGCUGUGUGUGUUGUGUCAGUAAGUUUGUGUCUCUGUCUGCUUAGGGAGCUCUCUGAGAGUUGCACGUGUGUGACUCUGCAAGUGCUUGUGCCUGAGUGUGUGGUGUUUGUGUGCGCCUCUGCAUGUGUCUUCGUAUGCAUGAGCAUCUCUGAGAUCAUGUGUGUUUCUGUGCGCAAAUAUACACGAUGCCUGUGUCACCCAUGUGUGUUUGUGUGUGUGUGCCUCUGGGUGUAGGUGUUUCUAUGUGGCCCUUUGUUUGUGUGAGCGUGUCUGUGAGUAUGCAUGGCACACAGGGGUGUACUGAAGGUUUGCAUGUAUCUCUUUUGUCCCUACUCCCCUACCCCUCUGGCAGGCUGUCACCUGUGAUGCGCUCUAGCAAACCGCGCUCUGGCUGUCAGUCAGAUGCACAGGGGAAUCAGCAAACGCUGAGAUGAUUUCCUAAUUCGUCCUGAUUCUCCAAUCCAGGGUGGUUGGUGCUUCCUCGUGAAGGACGCAAGAAUGUCCCAUUUCUAUCAUUAGCCCACCGGGGAAUUUUGCAAAGGCUUAAUGAAUGAAUUUGCACAAGCAGCUUCCUGGGAGAAACAGCACAGUACACAGUAGCACAUGAGUGCUUGAUUCCUCCGUGACUUCCACUGCUCAGAUCUACCGGGUGAUUAGGGACUGUGCAAACAACUCAUCCGUACCCAGGAUGGAGCAGCAUGCCAGACAGUGCAUUGUCCCUUGUAGGAGUGCCCCAUGGGGCAUACAAGAGUGCAUGUACCAGAAAUAUACCACGGAAUUACAUGAACAGAAUGAGCUGAAAAUUGAUGAAGUGAUAAUCCUAAUGGAAAAACAGCAACUCAGCCCAUUCAGUAUGCAUGUGGGAGUUUGGUCAAAUACCCCAGCGAAAAACCCAGGCUCCCUUACCCUAUUAAGCGCUACUUAACACAUCAUGUACAUCGGGCAAAAUGCACUUGCCAUGCUACCCCACAAGGCUCAUAUGUCACCUUUGAAGAGUCAGUGUAAAGAACACUACCAAACACAAGCAUCACAAGGGCUUGUGUGUGUGUGUAGAAUUCAAAUUCAGAAGUGAAAGGGUUUGGAAAGUGCACCCGCAAAUGCACCUCUGGGGCAUCUCAGCAGAUGCCCAAAUGCCAGGGGCUGAUCUCAGCUACAGGUGCAAAUUCAGAGUAAUUCCACUGAAGCCAGUGGGUUUACUCUGGAUUUACCUCAGUGUACCUGAGAGCUGAAUGUGGCCUGCGAAUGGAACUGUCAUACCAUGGGGAUGGAUGCACAGGUUGGGGCGUGGGGGGAAGGAUGGUGCAGGAAAAGUAAUAAACAGGAAGAUGUAAAAUAAAAUACCCCUCUCUACCCCCUGUCUCCCUUUAAUUUACAUUUCACCAUUUCCACACUCCCUUGGCUGCAACUAGAAGAUAAUAUGAUGUACACACUCAAGACUCCCUUUAACUAAAAAGGAGCUUUCCCCCUGCUUUUGCCAGGGGCAGAAUUUGUUCCCCAUAAAAUACCAAUAGGUGUGAUGCACUCUCAACUAGCACAGUGACUGAAUGCCACACAACUGAAUACUGUGCUCUGUGCCCCUUACCUUAAUUUAUUUUAUCCACGUUAUGUAUCUUACAUCUCCACUUACAUCACUUCUGACUUUGGCCCCUGGCAUUCUCCUCUGUCCCUGAGAAGCUAAGCGUAGCCAGUAUGUGUUGUGGGAUUCCUACAGUCCUGCUGGCUUUCCCUCCACCGACGCAGCUAGCUGCCCACACGCAAACACAGUUUUUAGAGCAACACUGCAUCAUAAGGUACUCUCCGGUCCAGGAAUUCCACCCCUUCGCUGUGGAGUGUGCCACAGGAUAAAUGCAAUCACUACGUUCCCAGGGGCCAGUUCCAAUCCACAAUAUCACUUGCUGAAAACUCAGAUGGGGACUAAAUAGCACAGCGAGAUUGCUAAUAGACAGUCGAGCCUUUCACUUUUCACUCAGGCUAGUGGUGACCAAACAUCAAUACUGUUCAAUGGCACUCUAUGAAAUGGGUUUGCUGCGCUCAGUCUAGUUUCUAGUGGGCAGUGUCCACAUCACUAUAAAUACCAAUCAAGUGGUCUCUUUGCUGGAAGUCUCAGAAGGGAGGCUACGGACUGCAUGGGCUAUAUGAACUGAACUGCCUUCUCAGCCCCAGAGACAGACCCCUUUGGGGCUCACUGGUGUGUCUAUGCAGAAGAAGCUUGUCCUACUCUGCUCUUUCUGCACAAGUGCUGGGGAUAAACAGAAGACUUCACUCUCCCAGACUGACAAGCUGGCACCUUUCCUCUCCCCAGCUAAAUGUCUUUCCGAAAAAACUGACUCUAACAGGUGACAGGCGUGAGACUGGUCACAAGAGGGUGGAAGGCGUGGCCAGGAGAAUGUGGUUCUGAAUAAUGCGUAUUUGACAUAACUCCAGUCACACAGAGACCAAAGACAUGUGGUGAGUCUGGGUCAGCAAGUGGAAGAAGAUCAAAGCAGUCAACAAGC